rnacentral:rRNA from 1 species
GACGAACGCUGGCGGCGUGCUUAACACAUGCAAGUCGAACGGAAAGGCCCUGCUUUUGUGGGGUGCUCGAGUGGCGAACGGGUGAGUAACACGUGAGUAACCUGCCCUUGACUUUGGGAUAACUUCAGGAAACUGGGGCUAAUACCGGAUAGGAGCUCCUGCUGCAUGGUGGGGGUUGGAAAGUUUCGGCGGUUGGGGAUGGACUGGCGGCUGAUCAGCUUGUUGGUGGGGGAGUGGCUUACCAAGGCAUUGACGGGUAGCCGGCCUGAGAGGGUGACCGGCCACAUUGGGACUGAGAUACGGCCCAGACUCCUACGGGAGGCAGCAGUGGGGAAUAUUGCACAAUGGGCGGAAGCCUGAUGCAGCAACGCCGCGUGCGGGAUGCCGGCCUUCGGGUUGUAAACCGCUUUCGCCUGUGACGAAGCGUGAGUGACGGUAAUGGGUAAAGAAGCACCGGCUAACUACGUG